rnacentral:rRNA from 1 species
UUUUUGCCUGGUGGCCAUAGCGAGUAGGCCCCACCCGAUCCCAUUCCGAACUCGGAAGUGAAACUGCUCAGCGCCGAUGAUAGU